GCUGGGUGUGGUGGUGCAUGCCUGUAAUCCAAGGAGCUCUGGGGGCUGAGGCAUGAGGCUCAGGAGCUCGAAGCUAGCCUCAGCAAAGGCGAGGCCCUAAGCAACUCAGUGAGACCCUGUCUCUA
rnacentral:sRNA from 1 species